GAAAGGAAGGAAGGAAGAAAGAAAUAGGACCAGAUGUGUAGCUAGCUCAGUGGUAGAGCACUUGCAGCACAUACAACACCAUGGGUUCUACCCCAGCGUUCCCUACAACACACUCUAUUUAACUUUAGACACUUACUUCAAUGUAAUGUUUUAACAUUGCAUAUGCAUUUUUUUCUUCAUGCAAGUCUUUUUACCUUUCAAAAUAAGUUUUUCAAAAUACAUGCUAUAUGGAAUAUUUAUAGCAUUUAAUAACCAGACCAUCAAUAUGCUGUGUACAACACAUUUUUACUAAGUUCCAGUUGUUAUUGUAAAGCUUGCCAUAUACUUAUUUAUUUACCAUGA